rnacentral:lncRNA from 10 species
CCGGCGCGCAGUUCCGGAGUGGAGGGAGGAAGUCCAAUCCUGCGCCAGGCUCCCUCCCUCCCGCCUCUCCGCGCUCUCAGGGGGAACUCGGGAGAGCUGCCGUCCCUGACCUCGACCUGAGACGUGGAGGAGGGACAGGGAAAAAGCCUUCUUCUCGCAGCUGCAGGUUGCCCCACCGAGGGCAUUUUUCCGCACCGAGGGGGCGGGGGGCAGAAUGCACGCCAGAAAACCUAAGUGCGCUGGGUUUAAAAUAGCAACAACAACAAAAAUUACAAAUAACCAAAAAACAGCAUAAGAAUUAAAAACAGUUAUAUUCCAAUGUUUUUAAUACUUGGUUCACAUUUUGGAUGCUCUCCCCAGGGAUCCGACGGCGCUGCGGAGGCGGCAGCGAUGUUUGGGAUCCUAAAGAAAGCAUCAGACCAGACUCAGGUCUGGACGUCCCUCAAGUGGCCCGGAGGUACCGAUAUUAGUGUCACCGCCGUCAGUGCCCUGCCCAGAAAUAAAACCUUUGUUCUGAGAGAAAUUGAAAAGCUGGAAAAUAUGGAGUAGGCGAUGUGAAGAGAAACUACAGGGAAUGUAGAGGUCGGGUUUUAAAUGCGUAUUUCCUCAAGGAUGUUGUGGAAGCAGAGACAAGGUGGCUGGCCUGGAGCAGGCUGGAGGACCUCCAAGGAUCUCCACAGGGAGGCAGUUACAUUUAACACCCUACCUAGCAAAAGAAGAAAAGAACAACCCCAUGAAAACAUCCCUGGGGUUUUAACAAAGGAAUCCCUGACAAAACGUGACUGAUAACUAGGACAGAACUGAAAAGUGGAAGUAAAGUCAAUCCCGACCCCCCAGGACGCCUGGGAACUCAGGGAAGCGCCUCCAGAAGGGAACAGCUCAGAAACCCUGACCAGACCUGGCGGACAAGAACCGUGUGGGCGGGGGACAGGAACGCCCACCCAGAGGCCGGGAGAGCAUGGUCCAGGACUGGCAGCCACUAACAGCCUCUGAAUGAAACUGAGGAAGGAAGUCAAUGGUAAUCGGGACCAUUAGGGUGCACCAGGGCAUAUAGAACAGUCGGGGACGGUAAGAAAACAUUCCUUCCAGAGACAUUCACUGGCACCUCCCGCGCAGACACACUGCCAGGCCCGGGAAUCGCAGAGAUGAACUGGGAGACUUGUCUGCCCUGGAGAACUCACAGCUGUCCUAGCAAAUUAAUCCAGUUGCCUCUGUAAUCCUGCCCACAGCUGUUGAGCAGCAAAUCUCUUCAACCUUUCGGAGAUGGACUGCAUUUCCUACCAAGACCCUGGCUGAUAGCAGAGUGACCCCAGGAAACACAGUUCCUCAAUUGUGGGAUUCUGGCUGGGUUACCCACAGAUUCGUGCGUGCAUAGCGAACAAAAGGGAUGCUAGUAACCCGUGGCAUGGAGGGGCAGCAGGAUUACUCCAGUUAGCACUGGGAAUAGUGUGAGGGGCAUAUGGACCACAAAGCUUUGGGGGCUUUUGCUGCUGUUGCUCUUGAUUGCUAUGGCAACAGUAAUAAUUAUAAAGAUUGUAGAGUGAAAUGGAUGUUUCUGACUGCCCUGGAGAGUUUUUAAACAAUGGAAGAGAUAAACAUGAAGUAUUAAAUUCUUAUUUUAAGGUACAGAUAUGCUGAAAUCCAAAGAACCAUUUAUCUGGGAUAGGCACAGGACAGAAUAAGUUCAUCUUCAGAUACUAAAUAUAAUUGUACAGAUUACAGAAUUGUGGCAAAGGUUAAGUGCUCAACCUCAGCAAGUUCUCUUGCUAAGAUUAGGACACUGAUUGGGAAGGAGUAGGACCAUAGACUUGUGAUAGGAACAUUUGGACAGACACAGACAAAGCCGAAUUCCCAAAUCUCAAGGCUCCCUUGUAUACAGAAGCAGCCCCGCCUCCCCUGUGCAAGGAAAUUAGCCUUCACAUACACUAAGAGCUUUCAAGACUUCACUGGGGCCUCUGCCUCCCACAUGGAUGCCUGUUCUCCUCCAAACUUGCCCCUGAUGCACCUCAUUGACUCCAGGAGCAUAACAAGAAUAAACUCUCUACAGAGCCCAGAAGGAGAAAUGCAAGGUCAGCCAGAGAAGAGGAGGAUGGAAAUAGAUUAUAUACCACGAAAGCUGGAAAAUCUUGCCAAUAUGUGUUGCAGAGAAGCUGAGAACUGUGUAUGGGAAUGGAUUCUAAAGUGUUAGACUAAGGAGGAUGAAAUACUAGGUUAGGCCAGGCAUGGUGGCUCACACCUAUAUUCCCAGCACUUUGGAAGGCAGAGACAGGAGGAUAGCUUGAGGCCAGGAGUUCAGGACCAGCCUCGGCAACGCGGUGAGACACCGUCUCUACAAAAAAUGUAAAAAUUAGCCACGUGUGGUGGUGCACGCGUGCCUCUGGUCCCAGCUGCUCAAAGGCUGAGGUGGGAGGAUCAUUUGAACCUAGGAGGUCAAGGCUGCAGAGACCUAUAAUGGCACCAUUGCACUUCAGCCUGGUGACAGAGCAAGACCCUGUCUCGAAUAAAAUAUAAAGUAAGAUUCAGCAAAAUUUAUGAAUAUGCAUACAUUCCCCUGGGAUUUAUGAUUUAGUGUGUUAUAUAUUGGAGUGAUUAAAAUGUUUUAGACAACGUGGUGAUGUUUCUUUUCUUUUUUUUUUUUAAUUGCGAUGGAGUCUCGUUCUGUUGCCCAGGCUGGAGUGUGGUGGCAUGAUCUCUGCUCACUGCAACCUCCACCUCCCAGGUUCUCGUGCCUCAGCCUCCUGAGUAGCUGAGACUACAGGCGCACUGCACCACGCCCGGCUAAUUUUUUUGUAUUUUUAGUAGAGAUGGAGUUUUGCCAUGUUGGUGAGAAUGGUCUCAAACUCCUAACCUCAGGUGAUCCACCUGCCUCCGCCUCCCAAAGUUCUGGGAUUACAGGUGUGAGCCACUGCACCCAGCGAUGUUUCUUAAUAUACUAUGAAUAUACAGAAAACGCUGAAUACUUUAUUUUUUUUUUAUUUAUUUUUUGUGAGAUGGAGUCUCGCUCUUGUCGCCCAGGCUGGAGUGCAGUGGCGCGAUCUCAGCUCACUGCAACCUCCACCUC